rnacentral:rRNA from 1 species
UACGGAGGGUGCAAGCGUUAUCCGGAUUCACUGGGUUUAAAGGGUGCGUAGGUGGGAAUGUAAGUCAGUGGUGAAAUCUCCGUGCUUAACACGGAAACUGCCAUUGAUACUAUGUUUCUUGAAUUAUCUGGAGGUCAGCGGAAUAUGUCAUGUAGCGGUGAAAUGCUUAGAUAUGACAUAGAAACACCAAUUGCGAAGGCAGCUGGCUACAGGUGGAUUGACACUGAGGCACGAAAGCGUGGGGAUCAAACAGG